rnacentral:rRNA from 14 species
UAGUACAUUUUUCAGUACAGGUAAACAUGCCAUGGUACGUAUAUUAUACAAUGGUAAGAAUACAUGAUUUGAAUUUGCUAGGCAGGCCUAGCGAAUUAAAAUAGGUCAUGACCCACUCUCCGUUAUUUUGUGGGAAUGGCAUUGCAUGAGUAGU